rnacentral:lncRNA from 1 species
CCUUCCUCGAUUCUCUUUGUAUGUGUUGAUUCAAGCUUAGCUAUGCAUGUAUUUGUGAUCUAUGAUGAAGGAUCUACAUGUUUGUGUGUUCAAUUGUAAUUUCUGGAGAUUUUGUUCUUGAUGCCUAGCACUGUUCAUGAUUGGCACGAGGAAGAAGAUGAAGUUUACAUUAGGCCACGCUUUUGAUCCAUUAGGCCACGCUUUUAUGUUGUUGCAUGUGUUAGUUU